AAAAUGGCCAUGACCAUCCUGCCGUUUUAAUAACGCACCAGUAAUCGCUUAAACAGUUGUAAAAUUAUGAGCCUAAAGGAAUCAUUAUAAUUAUGUGUUGAUCUUUGACAAAUUAUACAUUUUGGCCAUAGUUUGUUGAAAUGUCUCAUUCGAACAUACUCUAUUUGGCUUAGUCAUCUACUGCAAAGAAACCUUUACCAGAUAUGGAUGAAGCAGCUAAACAAUUUGCUCAACUUUAGAGCUCUGCUCUCUGGAAAGGGACAUAACUCAGAUGGAUGAAUCGUAUCAAAUGUGAAGAUAGAAAACAUAUUUUAAGAUAUGGUGGAAUGUCACAUUUUAUAUUAAAGAGAACUGUGUACAGACAUGUGAAAUAACAAUAUUUAAUAAUUGCUAUGAAAAUCAUAAAUAUUUUGUACAGUAUUUUUUACAGCAAUUAAAUUUUUUUUGAGUU
rnacentral:misc_RNA from 1 species